UUAAAAAAAGAAAGCAAAAGCAAAAUCAAAAUCGAAACCAGACGAAGCCUCGACCUUUCCUUCUCAGUUCUCAUCGUCUCCGAACAACACCACGCACAAAAAAAAAAACAGAUAAUUCGCGAGCUCAGAUUUGAAAAAUCGACGGUUGUGGAAGGAAGUGGAAUAGAGUAGCGGAGAUUGUUGCACGUACACGAAGAGAGAUAAACUCGGCGGGAAAUGGGGACGCCGUUGCCGGAUUUCGAGGCGGCGAGAGGCGGCGGAGGAGUAGCGUCUUCGUCAGCCACGGUGCUCACGAGCACUAAUACGUUCACGGAGGAUGCGUAGGAGAUAUCUCCGAUCCUGAUUUUCCUCUUCUUUCAUAAGGCGGUAUGCAGUGAGCUCGAAUCGCUUCAUAGGCUGGCGCUUGAGUUUGCUACAGGUCACCACGUUGAUCUCCGUCUCCUCCGUGAACGGUACCGGUUCCUUAGAUCCAUCUAUAAGCAUCACUGCAAUGCCGAUGACGAGCUUAUGUGUAUUAUGAGGAGAAGCUCUUGACGGUUGUGUAUAUCUGUCUGUGGAUGUAGGUGAUCUUUUCAGCUCUCGACAUACGCGUGAAGAACGUAGCGCAGACGUAUUCUCUUGAGCACCAAGGUGAAGGCACCCUCUUCGACCAUCUGUUUGAGCUGCUAAAUUCCGCCACGGAGAUCGAUGAAAGUUAUCGAAGGGAGUUGGCUAGCAGUACUGGAGUCAGACAUCUGUUAGCGAGCACUUGGCUAAAGAACAGAAACAGGUGUUCCCGUUACUUAUUGAGAAGUUUAAGCAUGAAGAGCAAGCGUACAUAGUCUGGUGGUUUCAAGCGGACCUUGUUCAUCUUUCCUAUCUCAUGCUUAAGUAUGCUGCUUACCAUUUUGAAUUCUAUCUUCACCUGGUUGGGAGGGAAAAGCGAUACUAUGGCUUCGCGUGGUGUAGAAGAUUCUUCGUUCCAUUGUUGUCUAGAUUCUUCUAGCAGCAUGCUUCCGUGCAAAACUAGUAGAGCACAGUGCCCAUGUGAGGGAUCCAAGGCCGGGAAGAGAAAGUACCCAGAGCUUACCGAGUAUGAUGCUCCUAUGCACCCAAUUGAUGAGAUAAAAAUUUGGCACAACUCAAUCAACAAGGAGAUGAAGGAAAUAACCGACGAGGCUAGGAAAAUUCAGCUGUCUGGAGAUUUUUCGGAUUUAUCUUCAUUUGAUGAACGCUUGCAAUAUAUUGCUGAAUCUUGCACAGGACAAGAUCAUAUUUCCAGCAGUAGAUGGGAGCUUUCAUUUUCUGAGGAGCACGAUGAAGAAGAAAACCAGUUUAACGAGUUUUGAUGCUUAAUUGAAAAAAAUCAAAAGUGCUGGAGCGUCUUCUACUUCUGCUGUUGAGUUUUACACCAAGCUGUGCUCACAUGCGGAUCAAAUAAUGGAAAUUAUUCAAAGGCACUUCCACAACGAGGAAAUUCAGGUGCUACCCCUUGCACGAAAGAACUUCAGCUUUAAAAAACAACAAGAGAUUCUCUACCAAAGCCUGUGCAUAAUGCCCUUAAGAUUAUAAUUGAACGUGUUUUGCCAUGGUUGACUGCAUCUUUAACAGAAGAUGAAGCUAAGAAUUUUCUGAAGAACUUGCAAGCUGGAGGGCGGCGAGUUUCUCCAAAGAAAAAAGUGAAGUCAUGCUGCUUCUGAAAGCUCUUCAAGAUAUUGGUUUUGAUCUUCCUGUCAGGCUUUUAGUUGGAAGACCUGAGUUGCUAGUUUCUGAGGUGGAUGAAUGGUUCGAGAAACUGAAACCCAUAAAGGACAAUGCUGCUCUCAAUUUUGCCAAUGCUCUUUUGAAUCUUCUCUGGGCAUUUGAACUAAGAGCUACUGCAUCAUGGGUAUUCCAGUUGGCAAUCAAAAGGGGUAUCUUCAGUCGCGACGUUUUCAGGCCAGAUCCUAGUCAACACUUGUUUAGUGCAAACGCUUAGGUGUUUAGCAGUCACAUUAAUGAUUGGUUUUGAUUUUCAGGGUGGCGGACAAGGACUGAGGUGCUGAUUUUAGAAGAUUGUCCGCAGGAUGCAUCAACGGUAUCUCCCUGGACAAAACACUGAAGGCAUGUCUUUGGGAGAUAGGCUCUCCAUUUCUUCCCUGGAAGACGAAAACAGGACUUCUAGUGGCGAAAGCUCACUCUCUCAGAAUGUGGAAAGUCGUUAGGAGAUAUGGGUGUUUAUUUCCGCAUGCUAGAUGCACUGUUAGCUGCAGAAGAAUACAAAGAUCGCUCUGUGUCAGGACACUUUAUGUAAUGACUGUGAACGCAAAGGAAGGACACGGUUCCAUUGGUUGUACCAUAAAUGCGGUACAUGCGGCUCUUACAACACCCGUGUGAUCAGAUCAGAAACAACAACCACCCCAACCCCAGACUGCUCAACCUCAUCCUGAAAACAAUGUGAGAAAUUUUUCACUCUCGUUUCCCUUUUUCUAAAUGUUGAUUUCAGUUUCUGUUUCGCACAACGAUGUGGUGAAGAAGGAAACUUGUAACAAAAAGGUCCGUUGAUAGAAUGUUCAUAUGUACACAUGAAGUUAUAUGAUGUUGAGGGUUUUUUAAUUCAUGCUCUGUUUUAUUUUUCUUUAAUUGUAGACAAAUAAAAAAAAAUGGUUUCUUUAAUUGGGAAACUUAAAGUUUCCUCUUUUUA